rnacentral:rRNA from 1 species
GAUGAACGCUAGCGGCAGGCUUAACACAUGCAAGUCGAGGGGUAGAGGUUGCUUGCAACCUUGAGACCGGCGCACGGGUGCGUAACGCGUAUGCAACCUACCUUUUACAGAGGGAUAGCCCAGAGAAAUUUGGAUUAAUACCUCAUAGUAUAUAACCUUCGCAUGUUGGUUAUAUUAGAGUUCCAACGGUAAAAGAUGGGCAUGCGUCCUAUUAGCUAGAUGGUAAGGUAACGGCUUACCAUGGCAACGAUAGGUAGGGGUCCUGAGAGGGCGAUCCCCCACACAGGUACUGAGACACGGACCAGACUCCUACGGGAGGCAGCAGUGAGGAAUAUUGGACAAUGGGCGCAAGCCUGAUCCAGCCAUGCCGCGUGCAGGAAGAAGCAUCUAUGGUGUGUAAACUGCUUUUGUACAGGAAGAAACACCCCGACGUGUCGGGACUUGACGGUACUGUAAGAAUAAGGAUCGGCUAACUCCGCGCCAGCAGCCGCGGUAAUAC